ACCUCAGACAGAAACCUCAAACAGAAAUGUUUUUGUGCGGAAUCCAAAGAGUAGUUGGAGGAUUAAAAAUCAAUGUAAGCACAAGUGCUACAGUUGACAUCUAUAUCUAUGAUUGUUUAUAUAAAUUAUUCUCCAGGGUGGUUCACAGAAGAAGGGGAUGGAUCACUAAAGAAGGAAGUAUGAAGAAUUGAUGAGAAGGAAACGAGUAUGUUGAAAGAAGAGAUGAGGACAUAGAAUAUGUUGGAAGAAGAAGGGAUGAGAAGAUAGAGAAGGUUGGAAGAAGUUGAUAGAAGUUGAAAGAAGAAGGGAUGAGAAGAUAUUAGAGCAGGUUGGAAGAAGAAGGGAUGAGAAGAUAGAGCAGGUUGGAAGAAGGGGAUGAGAAGAUAGAGCAGGUUGAAAGAAGAAGGGGAUGAGAAGAUAGAGUAGGUUGAAAGAAAAAAAAAAUCAAGAAGAUAAAGGUGAAAAAUGAAAAGUGUAAAAGAUUUGGGACCAAAACCAUUGAAUAAGUUUCUUCCGAUGUAAAAAAUUAAUAAUACUUUUUUUUUUCAUU